ACGGCAGCACAGCCCCGCAAGGGGUGGGUGGCGAGUGGCGGACGGGUGAGGAAUACGUCGGAAUCUGCCCUGUUGUGGGGGAUAACGUAGGGAAACUUACGCUAAUACCGCAUAAGACGGUGACGUGAAAGCGGGGGACCUGCAAGGGCCUCGCGCGAUGGGAUGAGCCGACGUCGGAUUAGCUUGUUGGUGGGGUAAAGGCCUACCAAGGCGACGAUCCGUAGCUGGUCUGAGAGGAUGAUCAGCCACACUGGGACUGAGACACGGCCCAGACUCCUACGGGAGGCAGCAGUGGGGAAUAUUGGACAAUGGGCGCAAGCCUGAUCCAGCAAUGCCGCGUGUGUGAAGAAGGCCUUCGGGUUGUAAAGCACUUUUAUCAGGAACGAAAAGGUGUCGGCGAAUACCCGGCACUGCUGACGGUACCUGAGGAAUAAGCACCGGCUAACUUCGUGCCAGCAGCCGCGGUAAUACGAAGGGUGCAAGCGUUAAUCGGAAUUACUGGGCGUAAAGGGUGUGUAGGUGGCCUGUUAAGUCUGUCGUGAAAGCCCUGGGCUCAACCUGGGAAUGGCGGUGGAUACUGGUGGGCUCGAGUACGGUAGAGGGUGGUGGAAUUCCCGGUGUAGCGGUGAAAUGCGUAGAGAUCGGGAGGAACAUCAGUGGCGAAGGCGGCCACCUGGACCAGUACUGACACUGAGACACGAAAGCGUGGGGAGCAAACAGGAUUAGAUACCCUGGUAGCCCACGCCCUAAACGAUGCGAACUGGACGUUGGUUGCAUCUUGGCAAUCAGUGUCGAAGCUAACGCGUUAAGUUCGCCGCCUGGGGAGUACGGUCGCAAGACUGAAACUCAAAGGAAUUGACGGGGGCCCGCACAAGCGGUGGAGUAUGUGGUUUAAUUCGAUGCAACGCGAAGAACCUUACCUGGCCUUGACAUGUCUGGAAUCCUGCAGAGAUGCGGGAGUGCCUUCGGGAACCAGAACACAGGUGCUGCAUGGCUGUCG
rnacentral:rRNA from 1 species